GCUUGUAUGGUCUAGUGGUAUGACGUGUCCUUCACAGCUUCUCACGAGGCCGGACAAGGUCCUGGGUUCGAUCCCCAGUGCGAGUA
rnacentral:tRNA from 1 species